GAUGAACGCUGGCGGCGUGCUUAACACAUGCAAGUCGAACGAUGAUGCCCAGCUUGCUGGGUGGAUUAGUGGCGAACGGGUGAGUAACACGUGAGUAACCUGCCCUUGACUCUGGGAUAAGCCUAGGAAACUGGGUCUAAUACCGGAUACGACCAUCUGGCGCAUGUCAUGGUGGUGGAAAGCUUUUGUGGUUUUGGAUGGACUCGCGGCCUAUCAGCUUGUUGGUGGGGUAAUGGCCUACCAAGGCGACGACGGGUAGCCGGCCUGAGAGGGUGACCGGCCACACUGGGACUGAGACACGGCCCAGACUCCUACGGGAGGCAGCAGUGGGGAAUAUUGCACAAUGGGCGCAAGCCUGAUGCAGCGACGCCGCGUGAGGGAUGACGGCCUUCGGGUUGUAAACCUCUUUCAGUAGGGAAGAAGCGAAAGUGACGGUACCUGCAGAAGAAGCGCCGGCUAACUACGUG
rnacentral:rRNA from 1 species